rnacentral:rRNA from 1 species
AACGAACGCUGGCGGCAUGCCUAACACAUGCAAGUCGAACGAGACCUUCGGGUCUAGUGGCGCACGGGUGCGUAACGCGUGGGAACCUGCCCUUAGGUUCGGAAUAACUCCCCGAAAGGGGUGCUAAUACCGGAUAAUGUCUUCGGACCAAAGAUUUAUCGCCUUUGGAUGGGCCCGCGUUGGAUUAGCUAGUUGGUAGGGUAAAAGCCUACCAAGGCGACGAUCCAUAGCUGGUCUGAGAGGAUGAUCAGCCACACUGGGACUGAGACACGGCCCAGACUCCUACGGGAGGCAGCAGUGGGGAAUAUUGGACAAUGGGCGAAAGCCUGAUCCAGCAAUGCCGCGUGAGUGAUGAAGGCCUUAGGGUUGUAAAGCUCUUUUACCCGGGAGGAUAAUGACAGUACCGGGAGAAUAAGCUCCGGCUAACUCCGUGC